UUUUAAGCUGGAAGACAUCGUAAACGCUGGCAGGGAGGAUGCAGUGGAGCAGGAGGGGCAGAACACUCUGCACUGAGGAUCUGUCCGUCCCCUGGAGAUGAGCAGAGAAGCUGGGACAACAGAGGAGAAGGAGGAAUGCUUCUGUAGGCACUGAGAGAAGGAAGAAAAAGUUGGAAAAGAUGUUUGUGCUAAAGAUCUGGGUUUAUUUAGAAUUACUGCCCUUCCCAACUCACAUACAUGAGCAUGUGAACUUUUAAAGUUGACAUAGUUGAGAAAGCAUCACUUUA